CUCCCACUAUCCAUUUGCGUUUUUAUUUCUUUUUCAAAUCAACAAACGCAAGUGGAUAGUGGGGG
rnacentral:sRNA from 1 species